ACUACAUUUGCAGUCCAGUGCCAAGACAUUUUUGAGUGAAGAGAUGUUAAACAGCAGAGUGAAUGUGGCAAUCACUCACAUUUUAUUUUUAGAUUCAGCCUGCUAGGAACUGAAUCAUUAAAGAGGGAAGUGAAACAUUUUGUAAUAUCCAUUUUUCUUUUAGAUUAAUUCCUACUAAUGGUGGGACCAGACACAUAAAUACAGGACAUUGCUUGUGUUGUAAUGUCACAAUAGGAAGAAGGUUGCAUCUUUUCACUUGGCUUGCCUAUAUACAUGUUUACCAUCCUGGCCCUUCAUCUUGAGACUAGUGGGCUUCAGUCACAAAGCUAUGCAUUAUGAGUAAACAGGUUGAACACUGGGUUCGAGUUGUUUUUGCUAAAAACAACUUCAGGAGAAGGGAAAUUGGAGCAGGGAAGCAACAGAGAGAAGGUGCUUAAUCCUUUCAUCACACACAGAUUAUCUGCUCCAAAUCACCCUCAGAUGCUUGCACACACAAACAUGUCGCACAAACACACAUUUUGAACUCUGUAUACAUAAAACAGUUUGGGAGGGAAUCUGUUUAGAGCUUAUAAAUGGCAGGAAGGGGAAGAGUUAAGUACCUUCUCUUCUCCCUCAAUCCCCGCACUGCUCUGCUUCAAAUUUUUCCUAAAGCUGCUUUUCAAAAAAGAAAAAAAGGCCAGCACUGGGGACUCUCACAUUCAUGUUUGCAUAUAUGGUAAUUUGUAGUCAGUGCCUCUGUUGUCAGUGCUCCAAAAACCUGCAAAACUUAUUUAACCAAAUAGGUCAGUGGGGUGGGGGAAAGGAUAUUACACCAAUAUUACACUAACAUAAAUUAAGAGAAAAAUUCUUCCUUAAUAUUGUGAUCUCUGAUUCGUUUUCUAAUUGCAGCUUACUUUAAAGUUUUAUAACAGUUAGUGAAUUCCAGUGAUUAAUUUCUUCAUGCUAACACAGAUUAUGGUGAGUAUAUUGAACCUUGAAGAAACCAACACAGCCAACUCUCAAUAAUCAUUGAUGUUUUUAAAUUGAAUUAGUCCUUGGUGUAAUGUGAACCCUACAACAACAAGGGAAAUAUACAAUGCAGUAUUUAAUUCUUGUAAAUUUGGGCACAAGGCCGAUUAAGGUGUGGCUGGGUAAAAUAUGCGGCCUAGUCAAAACCUCCAGUUCUUCAAGGCUUGUGCCUGAGUGGUAACAAAAAGAGAAUGAAGGUGCCAUUUCCUGCAGCACAUUACAGAGGGGAUAGCUGUCCUUCUAAUGUCAAGGUAUCUACCUCUGACAUUCUUUCAGGUGUUAGCUCCCUCCAUCUUCUCUUCAGGGGAACGAGUAUGCUGUGACAAGUAUUGCUUGAUUUCUUCUACAUUUGUAUCCUACUCUUCCUUCAAGAUGGUUAUGAUUGAGCAAGAUUAGAAAGGAAGCAGAUAAGAAGCUGGCUUUAUGAGUGCAUAAGAAGAACUUUGCUGGAGCAGGUGAAAGGCCCAUUGAGUCCCACAUCCUGUGCUCUGAGUGGCCAACCAGAUGUCUAUGGGAAGCUGGCAAGCAGGACCUGAGUGGAACAGUGCUCUCCCUACUUGUGAUUCUGUAUGUUACCUUUAACUUUCCGAAUUAUUUGGAUUGCUUUCUGGAGACUUUGCAUUGCCGCUUUAAAUCAUGGACAUCGUUGGGUUUCUGAAGUCUCAAUUCAUUUGCCACCUCCUUAUCAGUUAUGUAUUUAUAGUGUCGGGACUGAUAAUCAACUUCAUUCAACUCUUCACAUUAAUCCUCUGGCCGUUCAACAAGCAACUUUUCAGGAAGGUCAAUUGCAAGCUGGCUUAUUGCAUUUCAAGCCAAUUGGUGAUGUUGCUGGAAUGGUGGUCGGGCACAAUUUGUACACUCUACACGGAUCCCCAGAAUUAUGAAAAGUACGGGACAGAGAAUGCCAUAGUAAUCCUUAAUCACAACUUUGAAAUUGACUUUCUCUGUAGCUGGAACUUUUGCGAAAGAUUUGGAGUCUUAGGGAGUUCCAAAGUACUUGCAAAGAAAGAGCUUGCUUCUAUGCCAAUCAUUGGCUGGAUGUGGUACUUCCUUGAGAUAGUUUUCUGCACGCGAAAGUGGGAGGAAGAUCGGAAAAAUGUCGUGCAAGCCCUACUCAAUCUCCGGGAUUAUCCUGAAAACUUCUGGUUUCUGAUUCACUGUGAAGGCACCAGGUUCACAGAGCAAAAACACAAAAUCAGCAUGCAGGUAGCUGAAGCCAAAGGCCUACCCAAGCUCAAAUAUCACCUGCUGCCACGGACAAAGGGAUUUGCUGUCACCGUCCAGUGUUUGAGAAAUGUAGUUUCAGCCGUGUAUGAUUCUACACUGAACUUUAGAAAUAAUGAGAAUCCAACUUUGCUGGGAGUUUUAAAUGGGAAAAAAUACCAGGCAGAUUUAUAUGUAAGGCGGAUUCCAUUAGAGGAAAUCCCAGAAGAUGAGCAGGAAUGUUCUAAAUGGCUUCACAAACUCUAUCAAGAGAAGGAUUCUUUUCAAGAGGAAUACUACAGAACAGGAGCCUAUCCUGGCACUCCCAUAGUGCCACCUCGGCGGCCGUGGACUCUAUUGAAUUGGCUCUUCUGGGCCAUAUUGUUGCUAUAUCCUUUGUUCAAGCUGUUCAUCAACAUGAUCAGCAGCGGCUCCUCGCUGACUCUGGCAACGUUUGCCUUUGUUUUCAUUGCAGCUACUGUUGGUAGUCGAUGGAUGAUAGGAGUUACGGAAAUAAACAAAGGCUCGACUUACGGCAACCAUGGCCACAAGGAAAAAUGAAAGUGAAAACUCCAGAGACUGCUUCAUACCCAAAGGGAACAUGCACACCUCCUGUGGAAUGCAGUGUACCAUUCUCCUUCAAAUCUACAGAAGCCGAAUGCAGUGAGAUGGCCAUGAAUUCAUUCUCUUUGCCCCUUAUUCCUCCAACUUGCAGGGGAUAUUGGUUCAUAUUCUGCACAUUAUUUUCAAAUUUCCCCCUAUUCAAAUUAAGGAAAAUAAAAUAUGCAAUGACAGUGUAGCAAGCAUCUGAAGGAAUUGAUGAUCAGUUUCUUCUUCCUUCUUCCCCAUAAUCUUAGGCGGAUUAACACUGUCAAUCCGUUUUAGUCAUUUUAUAAGAAAGUGAAAUUUAUUUUCUCCCGAAAGUAAGCCUUAUCACCCGUGAAUUUGUUCAAUCCCUUUUAAAAACUGUCUGGAGUUAGCCAUCACACAUUGAGGCAGCAAGUUUCAUUGUUUAAUGAUGCGCUGUGUGACACUCUCCCUUUCGUCUGUCUUUAAUUUCUUACCAUCCAGUUUCAUUGGAUGACCCUGAAGUCUAGUAUCAUGAGAGGAAGACAUACAUUUCCACACCAGGUGUACUUUUUCUACACCAUAAUUUUAUGUCUCCUCCCUCUUGGUUUUUCCCUAAAUAACCUCCAGUGUUGACCUUACUUCAGCCCCCUGAUAAUUUCACUUGCCCUUUUUGUGUGUUAUACAGCUCUACAGUGUACUUUUUAAGUUGCAGUGACCAGAAAUGUGCACAGCAUUCCAAGUUUGGCAAUAUAUUUUUCUAUAAAGGAAGUUUUAUUCUCAGCCCUAUAUGCCCUUUUCACAGCAGUUGGGUACAGGACUAUCUUUUAUUGGGCUAUCCACUUUGCCCAUAAAGACCUUCCCAGUUACUGUCAAAUUUGACCCCAGCACUGUACAUGGAAAGUUAGCAUUGGGGACAGUAACUUUUUACAGUUAACUUUAUUGCUCAUUCACCUCUUUCAGAACUCUCUGUAGUCCCUUUUUGUUUUUAACCACUCUGAAUAAUUAGGUCACAUCAUAAACUCUGGCAUGUCACUGCUCAUCCCUAUGAAAAAAAAAAAACACCACCCACUCCAAUACAGAUAUUAUCGGGGACCCUGUUUACAUCCCUUCACUAUGAGAACUGUACAAUUAGUCUGAGGCUCUGCUUCCUGUCACUUAACCAGUUACUGAUCCUUGAGAUCUUACCUGCUCCUUUGCCAUUAUUUCUGAGCUGGUUCAGAGCUUUUGUUGAGGGACUUCAUCAGAACAUUUUGAAAGUCCACAUGUCUUGCUGACACUCAAAUUAAGGGAUAGUGAGACAGGACUUGUCUUCUGAAGGGUUAUGUUUAGCAAGAAUUGUUGUUCUGCAGAUAAAGUUGCCCUGGAACAGGCGUUACAUUAAGUGGCCUGUAAUUUCUUGGGCCUUUUUAAAAAAUUGUGUUACACGGACUGCUUCUCUGGUGCAGAGGUGGAUGCUUUUGGCAGUGGGGCUCAGCACUUCAUCAGCUGGCAGCUCCUCAGAUGCUUGGACCUUUCAAGCUUGCCUUAUUUUUCCAGAUUAGGAAAGCCCUGUUGAAACAUAGUAGUCCCUGUUUGGAAGUGACAAAUUUCCCUUCACCAACUUUUGCCUCAAAUUUCACUGUAAAAUUCAUGCAGGCGCAGAGAAGGUAACCUGUGCUAGAAUGAAUGAAACCGGCUGACAUCACUUGUAGAGGGAUCUGUUCCGUCAGAGAGGAACCUCAAGAUUUUGUGGGUGAUGUCUUAGUGUAGUUUGGCUGUCGCCACAGUAGCUAUGCAGUCAAUAUAUAAAUGUACCAUGUCAUCAGCAAAAUGGACAAGUGUUGAAGAAAUGGGUGAUGCAAGCUGUUAGAAAGACUGCUGUUCAGUAAAUGCUGAAUGUGUUUACAUUCAUUGCGUGUAAGUCUGCAAAGAUUGGUGGGUUGUACAGUAACAUUGCCAGUGCCUUUAGAAAUUGUGUGGGAAGGUGAAGGUUGGAAGUGCAGGUAUCAUAGGCACCAUAUGAAAAGACGCUGCACCUGCCUUUUAAUGAGUAUAAGACUCCUCAUUUGGAGUUAAAAGCUGGUAAUUUUUAACUGUGUAUCAUAGGACAGGAAUCUUUACAAGCUACUUUCCUUGUUACAAGUACUAGGGUUUUGUUUUCAGUUUUUUGUUUUUUGUUUUUGUUUUGCUCUAAGUAAAGGAUCUACAGUGGUACCUUGGGUUAAGAACUUAAUUCAUUCCGGAGUUCUGUUCUUAACCUGAGGUACCACUUUAGCUAAUGGGGCCUCCCACUGCCACCGUGUGAUUUUUGUUCUCAUCCUGAAGCAAAGUUUUUAAUCCAAGGUACUAUUUCUGGGUUAGCAGAGUCUGUAACCUGAAGCAUAUGUAACCUGAAGUGUCCGUAACCCAAGGUACCACUGUAUCCAGAAAUCAGCACUUUAAGCAUGUUUGAGAAAUCACUUGUCCUCAAACGUACUUAAUCUGGGCUAGAUCAUGUACUUGGUAAGCAUAUUUGACCUUACCAAUAAAACCAAUAAAUAAUAAAACUGCUAGUAGCAAUAAGCAAAGCAGGGUCCGGGUAUGGUUUCAAAUUGGAUGGGGGCCACGUGUUGGACUAGAUGACCCUACAAGUGUACUAUUUUAUACCCUGCUUUUUCCUUUGUCUGUUUGGGUUUGGUUAUGUGUAGGAGAAAAUGCAGGAGAUAUUUGGAUGUCUACUAUAAAUCAUUUCAACAAUAUCUGAGGCCUGAACUGGUGGUGGAUAAGUGACAGUGGUCUGUUGAAGAGCUCCAUGAGCUGAGCAGCUGUUCAGAACUGAAAUGCUGCUGCUGCCCUAGUGCUUUUUGCUUGCCCUCUGUCAAGUUCAAGGAAGUCCAGUGGUUCUUAACCUACCCCAUCUUUACACAAAAAACAAACAGCAAUGAGACCAAACCUGCACAUUUGUCCACACAAACUCCUUGUCAGCAGUGACUCAAGUAACUAUUCAAGAUUCAAGCCUACAAUCUGCAUGCAAACAUGUCAGAGUGAAGGAUCUGGUCCUAU